UGAAGAUGUCACGUGUAAAACCGGCGAGACUCUCCGGGGAACCAGCUAACAGGGAACCCACUGUGAAUUGAGUCGGACGUUAAAAUCUUGUCUCUCCAUGGGACGACGCCACAGCGCCCUCGGCGAUGCCCCGGUCUGCGUGGUGAAGUUGCUUCGAAAAACAGGGGGUACCGGCAACACCAGGAGAGGGAAUAAGAAGGAAGUAUCACCGGUCGUCAUCGUGGGUCUCUUCAUCAAAUCGUUUCGGAGAAGCGCAUGAGCCGUCCAGAUUCUCCUGCUGGACGGCAAUACCUCGGCCAUUCACAUCCUCAAAGAGACUUUCCAGAAGAGCAUGCCGGGACGAAGACGACCCGUCGCGAUUGCUUGUCGUUCGUGAACGAACCAGCGUUUGCGGCAACUCAUGCAUGCCUCCUGCAGGACUGGUUAAAGACAGAGUACAUCUGUUCGGUGGAAGGCUGCGGCUGAGGAACAACAACGCCCGCAGUGCCUUCCUCAGCGACUGUUCUGUUCUCACGAUGUUUGUACCUACCCCAAGUAUUGACUCAGUGCGCGGCACCGUUAAGCCUUGUCCGGAACUUUCCCUGAGAGUAUGCCAUUCCACAGAUGUCGAAGAAACCCGAAAUGGCCUGUAGCUUUCCUCCUUCCACCAACUUAGCUUCGUGUUCCUGGCCCGUCCGAGCCUGUCUCGGUUAUUAGAACGGGCCCAUGAAACGCGGGUAUGCGUUUUCGUAUCAGUUUCCCGUCAACUCGAG
rnacentral:lncRNA from 1 species